UGCAGUCAAGUCAAAUUCAGUCCCUGUCCUGUCAUGGCAGGAACUGGCCCAGAUGGCUGCCACAACAAGUCCUGCUGCUCAUGGGCCCUGGGUCCCCUGUCCUGGGACCUAGGGAUAAGUUUAGCUGCAGACAUUG
ensembl:snoRNA